rnacentral:rRNA from 1 species
UACAGAGGUCUCAAGCGUUGUUCGGAUUCAUUGGGCGUAGAGGGUGCGCAGGCGGCGCGGUAAGUCGGGUGUGAAAUCUCGGAGCUUAACUCCGAAACUGCAUUCGAUACUGCCGUGCUUGAGGACUGGAGAGGAGACUGGAAUUUACGGUGUAGCGGUGAAAUGCGUAGAUAUCGUAAGGAAGACCAGUGGCGAAGGCGGGUCUCUGGACAGUUCCUGACGCUGAGGCACGAAGGUCAGGGGAGCAAACGGG